AGCAAUUGUUUUACGUGUGAUAUUUUCAUUUGCGGCACAAAACUAAUGGCUACAUCACGUUUUGUUGACAAUUACAUGCCAUAGUCCAGAAUAAUCUUGGGCGCUCCAUGACUACAUGACUACAUGACUACAUGCAAAGCGAAAUUCAAUAAAAAAAUGUGACGCCGCGUAGAUGGACACGCGCCAGUGUUUGAUCAAUGCAUGUCCUCUCCCACCCUAGGACCGCCAUGUGUAAUCAGAAAAAAGAAGAGAAACUCCCUGGCCAGAAAGAGAGAACGACGUGGAACCCCGUCCGCAAGGCCCUGAAUUGGCUUCCAUUUUACCGGCAACAUCGAUUACACACAAGAACACGACCGAUUUCGAAAGAAGAAAACAGCAGCUGAGACUGAGAAGAAUAUGUUCACUUCACUAUCCCGAAGAAUAGGAAAACCAAAAAAGCGAAACGAACCAAGACAUUUUUUUUUCCCCUUUGAAGGUUUUUGGCUGCAGGUGAUGGCCCACUGAGUUUUACUCGUUUUCUUGAGCCCUUUUUGUGUUUUUUCUUCGCCUUGGAGCUUCGCUCGUUCACACACCGUUUCCAGCAGCAUCGCGUCCAGUGGUGUCCAGUAGACGACACCAGUCCCAUCGUCAUGGGCCUUGGGACUAGAAGAGAUCCGUAGAAGAGGAGAAUUGAACACUGGCCGUUAGCGGAGCAAUAAUGGACUAUGUAAAAGACCAUGUGACGAGCCGGUUGUGCGGAACAUGUGAUUGGAACGGGAAUCUACAGCAUCGAGGUAUGUGCUUCAAAAUCAGACUUGCAUGACGGCCACGCUCUUUUGCACAGCGGCCAUUUUAUUUUCCCCGUCUUUCCUGGUUGUGUGGUGUCGUGGUGUAGUGCGCAUUGUCUGACUCAUCCAAGUCUUCAUCGCCCGAUACUUUGCGGUUUUUGGUGCCUUUUUUAAUUUUUAUUAUUAGUUUUUUUUUUUUUUUUUUUUCCCACUCGAUUAUCAUUUCCUUCUGUUUCUCCAUAUUCGUGUGUUACAACUUCCUCUUUCUCCCGUUUCACUUCCUCCCUCCCCCGCCGCCGCAUGACGAUGCAUUCGCCCGCCAGCAAACUAAUUAAAUAAUGUUCCUACGCUAAUAAUUGUAUGGGAA